rnacentral:rRNA from 1 species
CACGUAGUUAGCCGUGGCUUUCUGAUUAGGUACCGUCAAGACGUGCAUAGUUACUUACACAUUUGUUCUUCCCUAAUAACAGAGUUUUACGAUCCGAAGACCUUCAUCACUCACGCGGCGUUGCUCCGUCAGGCUUUUGCCCAUUGCGGAAGAUUCCCUACUGCUGCCUCCCGUAGGAGUCUGGACCGUGUCUCAGUUCCAGUGUGGCCGAUCACCCUCUCAGGUCGGCUACGUAUCGUUGCCUUGGUAAGCCGUUACCUUACCAACUAGCUAAUACGGCGCGGGUCCAUCUAUAAGUGAUAGCAAAACCAUCUUUCACUUUAGAACCAUGCGGUUCUAAAUGUUAUCCGGCAUUAGCCCCGGUUUCCCGGAGUUAUUCCAGUCUUAUAGGUAGGUUACCCACGUGUUACUCACCCGUCCGCCGCUAACGUCAAAGGAGCAAGCUCCUUAUCUGUUCGCUCGACUUGCAUGUAUUAGGCACGCCGCCAGCGUUCAUCCUGAGCCAGGAUCAAACUCU